rnacentral:rRNA from 1 species
CGAAGGUGGCAAGCGUUACUCGGAAUUACUAGGCGUAAAGGGCAGGUAGGCGGCUCGACAAGUCCGUUGUGGAAGCUCCCGGCUUAACUGGGAGAGGUCAACGGAAACUGUCGGGCUUGAGUGUGGGAGAGGGUACUGGAAUUCCCGGUGUAGCGGUGAAAUGCGCAGAGAUCGGGAGGAACACCAACGGCGAAAGCAGGUACCUGGACCAUUACUGACGCUCAGCUGCGAAAGCUAGGGGAGCAAACAGGAUUAGAUACCCUGGUAGUCCUAGCCGUAAACGAUGCACAUUAGACGUGAGGGGUAUCGACCCCCUUCGUGUCGACGCAAACGCAUUAAAUGUGCCGCCUGGGGAGUACGGCCGCAAGGUUG